GGGGGGGGAUGACGCUAUACGUGAGGCACUUUAUCAUCUUCGAGACCUCAUGGAUUAUGCACAUCUCCUCACAUUUAACAUAAACGUGAUAUACAUACCGAAUGUGCAUAUUGAAAGCGGGGAGAUGUGCAGCUGUAAAGAGUUCAUUGCUCAAGACCUUCUGAAGACGUUAGUUUCAGCAGAAAUCACUGUUCAAGACACU